UGUAAAAUAUUGUUUGAUGCAUAUGGAAUUUUGAAUUCUAAGGUUAAAGUUUAAUUCUUUAUUUUUCAA
rnacentral:tRNA from 1 species